rnacentral:rRNA from 1 species
GAUGAACGCUGGCGGCGUGCCUAAUACAUGCAAGUCGAGCGAACGGACGCGAAGCUUGCUUCUCUGAUGUUAGCGGAGGACGGGUGAGUAACACGUGGAUAACCUACCUAUAAGACUGGGAAAACUACGGAAAAGGGGAGAUAAUACCGGAUAAUAUUUUGAACCGCAUGGUUGAAAGGUGAAAGACGGUCUUUGUGUCACUUAUAGAUGGAUCCGCGCUGCAUUGGCUGGUUGGUAAGGUAACGGCUUACCAAGGCAACGAUGCAUAGGCGACCUGAGAGGGUGGUCGGCCACCUUGGAACUGGGACGCGGUCCAGAGUCCUACGGGAGGCACCAGUAGGGAAUCUUCCGCAAUGGGCGAAAGCCUGACGGAGCAGCGCCGCGUGUGUGAUGAAGGUCUUCGGUUCGUAAAGCUCUGUUAUUAGGUAAGAACAUAUGUGUAAGUAACUGUGCACAUCUUGACGGUACCUAAUCAGAAAGCCACGGCUAACUACGUG